GCAACCACCUGGGUUAGUUUAGCAACCAACUUGAAUAUGGUAGCAACAUUUUUAUAUUUUAACGUAGAUUUUAGCCUUUUAAUCUUUACACACUUUAAACUGUUAAUUUUUUUUAUUUUUAUUUUUUUACAAUUUUUCAAGUCAAUGACAGCAAAAAACUGUACAAUAGUUCAAUUAUUAAGAAUUAUCUGACUUGGAAACGAACUAAGUGAAUGAAUCCGCUGCAGAGGGUCCAGCAGGUCAUCAUACAUCUCCCAGACACAUGGAGACCUCCUGCAGUAGGCCGCAUAAUGUCCAAGAGCAUCCUGGGUUAAGCCUCCUCUGAAAGCAAUGACUGCCCUUAAAGUAAAUCUCUCUUCUUGGAGCAUCAGAUUGGAGGGAAAUUCACACAAAGAAAAUUCUGUGGAGGUGCUUCCCAGGUCAGUGUCAAUCCACAGAAGUUCUCCCAGACUGUAACUGUGAGAAACUUUCCCUGCACAGAGCACUUUUCCUGAGGUAGAGUCUGUCUUGAAUGCAGAGGGACACUGUGACGGACUUUGGAUUGGCCUGAGGCAGGGGGACUCUGGAAGGUUAAGGCCUUCUUCCACCGCGGUCUGAAGAUGUGCCAUGCCAGAAGCCUGCAGUACAGCAACAGAAGUACAAGCAAAUGGAAUUUUCCUUGUGACUUCUGUGCUGAGACUGCAAUACUGUGAGGAGCACUGUUGUGUGAAGGAAACACAUGCGCGUUGUGUCAUUGACUUUUCAAUGAUGGUGGAGAUGUGGCACUGUGCAUCGAUUUGGAGAGCACCAGACUUCAAUCGGACAGCUUUAAAUAUUCCACUCAGCAGCUCUGCCCUCUGUAUGUAGACCUGUGCAUUCAGACCCUUUGUGCUGAUUGUUUUCACUAGCUGGAGGAGGUUGUUUGAGUCCUCACUGCAAACAAUAUUUCCAAAAGUUACACUAUCGCAGAAAGCACAGCAUAAGCGUUGACAAAAAGCAUCAAAUGCACACGUGUUCAGCACAGAGAGUCUUGAUUUCCUGAGUUUAACAGGCUGUUGAUUAUUUCCAUUUUUCAAUAGUUCCACUUUCACUCUUUUCCCCCUCACAGAUGGAUCUGCAUGGAGCCAUUCAAGACAAGGAGAGAGGUAUGACUUCCUUUUCCUCUUUUUGGGUGGAAAAGCUAGGCCUCUCCAGUUUUCAACUGCGUCUUCAUCUGUUAGAUGGAUGUUUGUGACAGUGUCAGACUUCCCAGAACAGGAAUCAUCCAUUUCUGCUUUUCUGUCUACACUGCAAGUUGUGGUGGGCAGUGGAUUUUGCUCUUGUGAUGAUCACUGUUAAAACAACUGCAUCUUCUUCACCUUUUUGUUUUGCAAAAAAAAUUCACACAUUGCCCUCAACAAAGGACAAAUGUCGGGCAAUGAAUCGAUCCACCCGAAUAGGCAAGUUUUCAUGCUUGAAGAGCCCACGUUUGAUGUUUUUGAACUCUGCUUCAACAUUGGCUGAACUUGCGGUGAUGUUGGUGCUUCAGAAGUGAAGGAUCAUUACCCCUGUCCAGAGUGGUCUGUCUGUGUUUGGUCAAAUGGAUGCACUUCGUCCAGGUCCUCACCCUCUACAUCUGGAAUGAUUACACACUCUUCUGCAAUUUGGGCUUUCAGCAGUCCCACUGGCAGAUCAUCUUGAUGCAGUGUGCAACAUCAACCCGAACAAAACAAGGUGGCACUUUUGCUGACACUUUACCGAGUAAGACACCACAACACUCAUUGAUGUAGGUCUUCAGAUCAGGAUGAGGAGUAAAAGCCUUGACCAGAGCUCCAAGCAAAGCCAGAGAAAAGUCACUCACAACCUCUUUUGGAAUUGGUGCACCUGCACGUAUCCAUUCUGUCAGCCAAUGUGUUAUUGCAUUAACAUCGUGUCCCUCUGACAGCAUUUGCACCACUGGGACACUUGAACUCUCAUCCCCUGCCAGAACACCUGAUAUAAGAAGAUAAGGCCAGACAUGCCAUUUGGUCUGUGUAGUUUCCUCACCACUGAGCCCGUUGCAUCAAAACUCACAGUGGGGGUGGCCAAAUUAGGAAGAUGGCUUGGCUCAGGAUCUCCAAAAUCCAUCAGUUUUGUUGCCUCUGAUGCCCUCCAUACAUGGGGUUCCAUUCUACCCUCACACAGUUCUUUGGCUAUCUGCACACACAAGUUACCAUAUAUCGGACGCUUCGAACAUCCAGUGUGGAGGGAGUCAUCGGUGUUUUUAAUUCAACAAUUGAGCACCAUUGGGCUGUUCAUUUCAGGCUCUCUGUCACAUUUUAUGUGAAUGUGGCCAUGACAUUCCUUACAAAUGCCUCUGAUUUCUAGGAAUUUCUCUGUUACUGAUGGAUAGACCUUGGCCUUUUUAAAGACAAAUGUGCAGGGGCUUCUCGCUUCUUCCCGAAUGUGAUGAUUUAUCACAUGUGUCCAGAUGCCAGGCUUCAAACUUGUGUAUUCCCUUUUUUGUGUUUUAGAGAACUUGUUUUUAUAUUUAACUGUUUCGGGCAUGAAUUCAAUCCAAUUCUGAAAUGGAACUUGAAGAUCAAAAGUCCAGCAAUCUUUUGGUCUUGGGGAAAGGGACCUGGCUCAAAAUCAGUGUCAUCACUACUGCCACUUGUUUGAUGAUCACUUUUAUAAAUAAACCCUAAAGCAGUCCAGAUGUUGUGUCUGUUCAAUUUAACAAACGUGUAUAGAGCCUUUGCAGUGACCUUGUUUUCUAGCUGCUCACUAAGCUCUGUCCAGAUGCUCUGAUUAGGAGUAGCUAUGUUGCCAUUUUGGACGAUGGCCUCUUUUGAUGAACAGAGGACUGUGAAAAUGGAAUCCCUGUCGACCGCUGCUUUCUUGGGCAUCUGGCAUAAACAAAACAUAAUUACCCACUGAAAUAAUCCUGAUGCAAAAAAUGUCAUACACUGUAAACUUGUUUUCAUGUAUUACUGUAUUUGCCAGAAUACAAGGAAAAU